GGUACCGAAGGCUCUGCCCGUGGAGUGAAAAUUGUCUGAAGGUGGUUGGAGGUCACAAGGUAGCCUUAUAUUUGUGGGUCUAAUCUAAGGACAUCAAUGGAAAGUACAAUUUGAAGGCAUACUCCAGGAAAAUGCCCUCAUUUAAAGAAAUCCAGAUCACAGCAGGACUCUGCCAUAGUCCUGAUAAAGAACAGGACAGUGGCCUGAGAAAUGGGCAUGGAUGAGAUGGCACUGACGAGUGAAGGACAUGGCAGAGGGGCUUGGGAACCCGUGCUCAGCACGGUCUGCCUCCUGUUUGCACCUUUAUGGUUCAGUACAAGGCACCCGCUUCCUGACAUGGGCUCCUAAGUGAAAGACUUUAGCUUCAGAGAAGCAUGAAAAAGACAAUAAAGUUUUAAUUAAAUAAUAAUAAAAUAAUAAUAAUAAAAGCUACAGAGGCUGUCAGAGAAGAUGCAAACCAAUUUACAAAGCAGGCUCAGCCCUGCAAGGUACCGGAGCUGCCCGAAGCCCUGCCCGGAGCCUCUCCCCAGCUGGCCGGGCGCUGGGUCUCACAGGGCAGCUCCAGAUGCCCCCAUUCCUCUUUCCACAGCGAAGCUCCUGUGAACCAGGGUCUCCUUCAUCUCCCACAAAAGCUGCUGACCUCAGUCGCAAUGAUAAUAAUAACACAGACUGUGUGGGUUGUUUAGUUAAUGAGCCUCAAAUUCUUGGGCGAAAAGAAAGGUUUGGGGACUUGGCUGGCGAAAUGAGGGAUGGAGCCAGGAGCCACGACCUCCUGGUCCCAUGAUCAGUCUGGGGGGAAGGCUGUUGUGUUUGGCAAGGACCAGCAAAAAGCAGCUGCCCUGGAUGCUUUGGGCUGCUUUACCUGCUUCAGUUCUCCAUCCUCACCCACCCGGCUGGGAAACGCAUCUGCUGAGGACAUGGUUUCUCUUCCACAUCAAAAGCAAGAACUUAUGACAAUUCCCACUGCAAAUGUCAUGACCUUGCAUAAAAAAGGAAGACUGAUGGCUAUAGUAGAACUGAGGCAUAACAAAGAGAAGAGACAAGACUGGGCUUAUCCUAAACCACUUCUGAACUGUCGUUUUCUUCUUCCAGCAAGGUGCUUAGGGAAACAUUGGGACCAUAGGUGGUGUAGCCACAGAAUAAAACAAAUUUUUUUGUCCUUACUUUGUGAAGUUUGCUCCAAAAGACCUGGCACAGACAUUAGUGGAUGUCCUCUUCAGAUGUAUGGAGAAAUAAGGAUGAAUUAGUUUUGCCUCACUGCAUGGAAACAUUAAGUUAAAGGCCCAUUUACUGAAAAGGUCUAUGUGAUGUAGGAACCAAAUGCCAAGCACUGCAGCUUUUCCUUCUCCUCCAUACUGAUGUUUCAGCUCCAGAGCAUGCACACAGCAGUCACAGAGGCUGUGCCACCUGCAGCAGCACGUUGGUGCUGGAAUCCCAAAGCCACCUCUGAACCAUCCCUGAAAGCUGAGGGAAAGCUUGCUCUGACCAGCAGCCACACGGGCUGUUUUGGUUUUGAUUUGCAGCAGAUUUGAUAAGAAAGCUCUCAGGAAAAACAAAUUUCCUCUUGGACUCAGUCGAAUUGGGCACAUAUUCCGGCACACCGAGUUCCCUUUCCUAAAAGCUCAUGAAGUAGGCUUCUAAAAUUAGGAAUAAGAGGUGAAGUCCUGGCCCUUUUUCAAGCAGGGACCAUUAUCCCCAGGACCAGCUCUCACUUGAGGGUCACUGUAGACCCUCAUCGAUGGAGAGCAGUGACAAGAAGAAAAAAAAAAAAGUCUUGAUAACAAUCUUUUAUCUCUAACUGUUAUUCCAGUGGUCUCUUCUGUUUCUCCUGCUGCCCUCACACUGUCUCAUUCCGUAGCCUGUAUCCACCACCAGUGCUGCUGUACAAACAGUUCGGUGUUUGGCCCAGAGACGAUGAAUCGCUGGUGCUCAGCUGCUCCAGCAGUGUCACGUUCCAAAUUAAGCACCUCCGUUUUCACUGGGGUCAUUGCUCAUAUGCAGCAGUUUCUUUUUUAUUUAGUCUAGUCCAAAAAAAGGGCAAUUACUAUCUCCCUGCAAAUGCCAGGGCUGCAGGGGUUGGCAGCUGUGACAUCCAGAUGCC
rnacentral:lncRNA from 1 species